rnacentral:rRNA from 1 species
CCUACGGGGGGCUGCAGUGGGGAAUAUUGCGCAAUGGGCGAAAGCCUGACGCAGCGACGCCGCGUGCGGGAUGAAGGCCUUCGGGUUGUAAACCGCUGUCGGGAGGGACGAAGUUCUGACGGUACCUCCAAAGGAAGCACCGGCUAACUCUGUGCCAGCAGCCGCGGUAAUACAGAGGGUGCAAGCGUUGUCCGGAAUCACUGGGCGUAAAGGGCGCGUAGGCGGCCUGGUAAGUCGGGGGUGAAACGCUGCGGCUCAACCGCAGCACUGCCUUCGAGACUGCUGGGCUUGAGCACGGUAGAGGCUGGUGGAAUUCCCGGUGUAGCGGUGGAAUGCGUAGAGAUCGGGAAGAACAUCGGUGGCGAAGGCGGCCAGCUGGGCCGUUGCUGACGCUGAGGCGCGACAGCGUGGGGAGCAAACAGGAUUAGAUACCCCAGUAGUC